UUAAGGCACGGGUCAAAUUUUCUCAUGUAGUGGGGGAUAAGUAAAUUGAUCGCCUUUCCUGUCAGCGAUUGACCUUUGCGUCAUACGAUACCUAAGAUGUGCGCCAUCGUUAUACAUGGUCAGCGGAACAUUGGUACUGUGUGUGCCCGUCACCGUGUUGUUCGCAUAAUUCGUACAUGAAAGCUUUUUUGUGAAGCGGAAGCUACUUCUUUAGGGAAAGAAAGACGUUGAACCGAUGGAGACCCGAAUUAAAGUUCAAGAGGUGCAGAGGCAGUUCUUCAACUAUGUUUGAGAUGUGUUCCUUGACAUCAUGUAGUGGUUCAGUUGGAAGAACUUCGUAGAAUCCUGAAAAAAAGGGCCUGCAAGCACUUUUGCCUUGCGAUCUGCAAGUGAGAGCUCUGGACGCCGGAAACAAUAUGUUAAAUUAGAAUACAUUCUUGUGUCACCACUGCAAGCACUGCAGCCAGCAUUACCACCUUUCUGCUCUCCACUCUCAAACUGCUGUUCGGGGCCAUCACCAUGGAAGAAGCGCAUAAUGUCAUUUACCUCUCUACCUGUUGAAGUGGAACAUUUGUGUCCCAUGUCCAUCAAGCAUUCUACUCUUGUUUCUAUGUAACACAGCUUCUCUGCUUCAGAAGAGCCACAUCGCCCAAUGACGUAAACAUGAGGCUUCUCCACUAGACUGAUAACAUCAACAUCACCAUGGCCACAUUCUUUCAUUUCAUCGCUUGUAUAAAAAAAUGCUGGAUCGUACAGAAACUGAACGAGCAAAAGAAUAUGGCCAUGGUUCAUUGCUGUUGAGUUAUCACUCCAAACCAUGAUGUGCCUGGUGCUCUCGAGCCUUUUUAGCUUCUCCUUAGCAUCUUCAUGGUCUGGAACCAGCUCACCGAUAUUUUUCAGUCUUUGUUUGACCUCCGCGGUGGAAAGACUGGCAUAGUGUGAGUCACUAUGGUUUCGCACUAAGCCCAGACUCUCCUGCCUCUCAAGCUCCCUUCUCCGUAUCUCUCUGAGUGGGAUCUUCCGCCCAGACACCGUGAAGCUCUCUUCUUUUAGGGAACCAUCUGGCUGCAGCAGAAGCUUUUUGUAUGUUCUUGGAACUACCAGUUCCCCGAGAACAUACUCCCCGCUUUCUAUUUUAGCCUAUAGAAACAAAAAUAUUAUGUUUAGAAAAUAAGAAAGGGCCUUAUUUUUAAUCUAUUUUUUUUAUUCAUUAGCAAAUGAAUAAAGUGGAUUAAGAUACUA